rnacentral:lncRNA from 1 species
CCGGGCACUGGUUUCGCCCCUAAUACAAACAAUAUUACAUGAGCAUCAAGAAGAAAUCAAAAAUGGAAGAACGAAAUAGGAUACAAUGAGAUUAUAACAAAAAUAUAUUGCUAAGGAAGACUUAGAUGCCUCCGUGAUCACCGGUGCCUGAUCUAAACAGCUAUUGGCAUCAUCAAUUAUCGCCCCAAGUGUGGCAUUCUUC